AUGGGUGCCAUGAUUAUGCCCAUGAUCCAGAACCUCGAGGCCACGCUCAGGAACAACGCCGCGCCCCAGACCAUGCAGUUCGUGCCCACUCCGGCCUCACUCUCUGUUCCGAAGCCAGCGGCUGCGACGGCGACAGCGACGGCGACCAGCAAAGCACCUACAAGUUCUACAACUGCCGCUGCUGCUAGUCCAGCGCCCACUGGCUCUUCUUCCAAGCAGGAAGAAGAGAAGAAGGUCGAGAAGCAGACUCCGGAGAAAGCCGCGGCGGCGGCAGCAGCGCCGACUGUGGCUGACCCUCUUGGCAGCGCGAGGGGGAAGGUGCAGGAGGAGGUGAUGAGGGAGUUUGCAGCGCUCAUGGCGAGCGGCACGCUGCGGGCGAGCGAGGCGGCGGCACUGGCCAUGCGCCGGGUCAUGGAGUGCCACGGCGAUGGCGUCAGUAUGCAGGCCUAG
rnacentral:rRNA from 1 species